rnacentral:misc_RNA from 1 species
GAGUUUCCUUUGGGAAGCUUGGCAAGAUUUAACCCUUAUUAUCUUGAUAGUAGCUGCAGUGGCGUCAUUGGCCCUGGGAAUUAAAACAGAGGGUCCAGAAGAAGGAUGGUAUGAUGGGGCAAGCAUUGCUUUUGCUGUCAUUCUUGUUAUAGUUGUUACAGCUGUUAGUGACUAUCGCCAAUCUCUCCAGUUUCAAAACUUAAAUGAGGAAAAGCAAAAUAUACAGUUAGAGGUCAUGAGAGGUGGUAGAAUAGUGAAAAUUUCAAUAUUUGAUAUUGUUGUUGGUGAUGUUGUACCUCUUAGAAUAGGUGAUCAGGUCCCAGCUGAUGGAAUCUUAAUCACUGGUCAUUCUCUUGCCAUAGAUGAGUCUAGCAUGACGGGUGAAAGCAAAAUUGUUCACAAGGAUCAUAAGGCACCAUUUUUAAUGUCUGGAUGCAAAGUUGCAGAUGGUGUUGGCACUAUGCUGGUAACUGGUGUUGGAAUCAAUACUGAAUGGGGAUUGUUGAUGGCAAGUAUCUCAGAAGAUACUGGUGAAGAGACUCCUUUGCAGGUACGUUUGAAUGGAGUUGCAACUUUUAUAGGCAUUGUUGGUCUUUCGGUAGCUGUAUCUGUUCUUGCUGUCCUUUUGGGCCGGUACUUCACUGGAAAUACAAGAAACUCAGAUGGAGUAGUCCAGUUUGUGAAAGGCAAGACCAAGUUCAGUGAUGCAAUAGAUGGAGUGAUUAAAAUUGUUACCAUUGCAGUUACAAUUGUUGUUGUUGCUGUGCCAGAGGGGCUUCCUUUGGCUGUUACGCUGACCUUGGCAUACUCAAUGCGAAAGAUGAUGGCAGAUAAAGCAUUGGUUCGUAGGCUUUCAGCAUGUGAAACUAUGGGCUCGGCAACAACAAUUUGCAGUGAUAAGACUGGAACGUUGACCUUGAAUCAGAUGACUGUCGUUGAAGCUUAUGUUGGGAGAAACAAGAUGAAUCCACCUAAUGACUCCUCACAAUUGCACUUUGAAGUUAACUCUUUGUUAUGUGAGGGUGUUGCACAAAACAGCACCGGCAAUGUUUUUGUGCCCAAGGAUGGUGGUGAUGUUGAGGUUUCUGGAUCCCCUACUGAAAAGGCUAUCCUUUCCUGGGCAGUCAAGUUGGGGAUGGAGUUUAAUGUAUGUAGAUCACAAUCAAAAGUUCUCCAAAUUUUCCCUUUCAACUCGGAGAAAAAGCGAGGUGGUGUUGCUGUACAAAGGACUGACUCUAAGGUCCAUAUACAUUGGAAGGGAGCAGCUGAGAUACUUCUUGCCUCAUGUACAGGAUAUAUUGACUCAAACUUUUGCUUGCAACCCAUUGAUGAAGCUAAGGUCAAUAGGGAAGUUCUUUUGCUGAAAUAAUUAUGCUAUUUCAAAGAAGUUUCCAGAGAAAGCAGUAAUUAUGAGAAACCCAUUGGAAUUUGCAUUCGACAUUUUGACUAAAUAUCUAAAUUCUUUAAGUUUGGUUGAAAUAAUCUGCUAACUAAUUCAUGUCAUGUAUCAUUUUCUUAAGCACAAUAUCUUUUACAAAUUAUAGGGCAUUGUGUUCUUAUGGUGCUGUGAUAUGCAAAAUAAUUUGUUCUUAAAUCUAAAUAGUUGUGAAGUAAGAAAGUUUUACUGGCUUGUAAAUGAGGCAAAUGUCAGAAACUAGGAUGUUUUUCUUUUUUACAUGAAUCCAUCCAAAUUACAAUUGUUGCCAAUGCAAGUUCUUGUUAUCUGCAUGCAUAUAUAUAUGUGGAUUUUGUGUGUUUGACUUAUGAGAAGACAAGGCACAAAUAAUUCAUUUUUUAUUUUGUUGGAAAUUAUGGGAUCAGGAGUGUGGAUCAUCAAAUAAAGGCCUCCAUGCUGAACUACUUGAAACUGAGCUUCCCAUCACCAAAGUGGCCUAAGCCAUAUUGGUUUGGUUUGCCUUGCA